AACGGCAGCGGGCCUAGCUUGCUAGGUGCCGGCGAGUGGCGGACGGGUGAGUAACGCGUAGGAAUCUGCCUUCUGGUGGGGAACAACCCUAGGAAACUGGGGCUAAUACCGCAUAGUUUUUUCGAAAUAAAGUGUGGGAUCUUCGGACCACACGCCAGAAGAUGAGCCUGCGUCGGAUUAGCUUGUUGGUGAGGUAAAGGCUCACCAAGGCAACGAUCCGUAGCUGGUCUGAGAGGAUGAUCAGCCACACUGGGACUGAGACACGGCCCAGACUCCUACGGGAGGCAGCAGUGGGGAAUAUUGGACAAUGGGCGCAAGCCUGAUCCAGCAAUGCCGCGUGUGUGAAGAAGGCCUGAGGGUUGUAAAGCACUUUCAGUGGGGAGGAAAGACCAUUCGUUAAUAGCGGGUGGGGUUGACGUUACCCACAGAAGAAGCACCGGCUAACUCUGUGCCAGCAGCCGCGGUAAUACAGAGGGUGCAAGCGUUAAUCGGAAUUACUGGGCGUAAAGGGCGCGUAGGUGGCUAUUUUAGUCGGAUGUGAAAAGCUUGGGCUUAACCUG
rnacentral:rRNA from 1 species